rnacentral:snRNA from 1 species
AGCUUUGCGCAGUGGCAGUAUCGUAGCCAAUGAGGUUUGUCCGAGGCGCGAUUAUUGCUAAUUGAAAAAUCAGUCAAUUUAAUUCACUAUGUUGGCCAGCUAGAGCUUAUAUGAUCGUAUCAAUCAAUG